rnacentral:rRNA from 1 species
UACGUAGGGUGCGAGCGUUAAUCGGAAUUACUGGGCGUAAAGCGUGCGCAGGCGGUUUUGUAAGCCAGAUGUGAAAUCCCCGGGCUUAACCUGGGAAUGGCAUUUGGGACUGCAAGGCUUGAGUGUGGCAGAGGAGACUGGAAUUCCUGGUGUAGCAGUGAAAUGCGUAGAUAUCAGGAGGAACACCGAUGGCGAAGGCAGGUCUCUGGGCUAACACUGACGCUCAUGCACGAAAGCGUGGGGAGCGAACAGG